rnacentral:lncRNA from 1 species
AUGCCCUUGCUGCACACAGAGAAGCUCCAGUGCAGCCGGCUGACAUGCCUUUUGUUUCUUUGUUUGCUUUGCUUUUUUCUUAAGACUCACAGCUUUAUAAAAUCUUUUGAAUUAUCAUAUAAACGCUUAAGGAGAUUAAAAAACUUGAAAAACAAAGGUGGGAGAGAGACUGGUGGAGACAGCUGGAGUCCUGGUGCCAAACCCAAGUCUUCAUUUAUUAUGCUGAAUUUGGGGCUUGGUACUGUUUUGAGAAGUCAUACAAGGAAAUGUGGAGAGCACCACUCUUCUUCUAAGGCCAUGCUUGAAUGGAGUGCUGGCUUUGAGAACACACACCGAGGAUGAAGAAGGCCAAGAUUUCUGUCCAGUACACAUUGGCUGCCACAAACCUUUGGGGACAACCUCUGGUUUCAAAUAUGAACACAUGUGGAUGGAGAAGGUUUUCCUGGGAUUUAACCUUGGGAUGAAAAGUGUCGAUAUUUUAAGAAAUGUACUCAUGCAAAAAAAAAAAAACUAUUCUUUUUGUCUCUCUUUUUAAAAUGAAAAUUUGUCCCUUCAAGUCAGAAAUAGAUUUUCUUGAAAUAAAGCAAACAUCCUCUAAAAGGCUUCCA